UCUGCAUUAAGUCUUCUUUUUCAUCAUUGCUAUUUUAUUUUUAUUAUUUAGUUUAGUUUUAGUAUUUCUACAAGGAAUGCUUAUUUAAAAAGUCACAUGCCUAGCAUGUGACUUUUAAGUUAGAUGGAGGGUUUAGAUUAAAAGGUUUUGUUGUAAUCAAGGGCUCGGACCUAGUGUAUGAUGUAAUGCUAGUACAAAUAGUCUUUUAAUACUAUUUAGUUUGCUGCCGUCUUUUACUUAUUAUUUAUAACGAUUGAAAUUUUCACUUUUUCUCCAAACCCUAUAUAUCUAUUGAUGUUCCAACUUCAAUCUAGCCUACUUAAGCGUAAAUUUUGAUUUUGUGCUAUUCUACUGUAUUUGCCCCAAGCACUACAUCAAUAUGCUUAAUAGUUCAACAAAAGUAUCAAGGUGAUGUAGGACAGAUUAGGUGAGCUAUCACUUGCACUUGUUUGUUGCUAAGAAUAAGAAUCAAAUGGAAUGAAAAUGAAAUUCG
rnacentral:misc_RNA from 1 species